CUUCAGAUGCCACAUCCUCACGGGACCAGGGUGGAUUCCGGUUUCGGGGCUGGCUGCGAGGCACAGAUGUCUGGCUUCCGCGUGAAAGAGGGCGUUGUGUUGAUGUUGCGGCUACAGCGGGAUUGAUUUCUGGCCUUCGGGGAUCUCACACACAGAGACUGAAGCAGGAAAAUAUGACGACACGUGAUCCACUGGAAUGGAGGCUCCGUGAAUUCAUGCUGGUGCUUUUCUUUGGUUCUGCUCACUGCUGUAUCACACGCCCUUGGAACAACGCCUGCACACAGUAAAGACAUAGAAAAUCUUCUGACGCGUAGAGCUGUGUUUUGACUGCCUGAUGAUUUAGACAAUUACAAAGAACACGGACUUUGGAGUCACCUAGAACUUAGUCUGAAUGCUGCUCUGUUAUCUGCUACUUGUAUAAUCAUUGGCAAGAUAUUGAU